AAGAAGCUUGCUUAGAUCUUUUUUUUGGAAGUGCUCUCUCUCUCUCUCUCCUACGACUCUCUCUCUCUUCGAUUCCAGGUUAGUUUUACGCCGGAUCGACAAACCGAAGCCACCACGACGAUCCUGGCGAAGUUCUCUACAAGUCUGCCUGAGCGGAUCGUCAGGGAAACGAAGUUGAAUUUCAUCCCAAAUCCAAGUUCCAUGGUGUUGAUUAGGAACGUUAGAAAUCAUCCCUAAGUUGAGGUAAAACUUUUUAAGUCGAAUUUGACUUAGUGGUAGUUAUAGAAAAUGUUGUACGUACGAAAAUACUAAACUUUAAUUCUGCGAGUUUUCAUUUUCAGGGUGUUGAGUUGAGAACCUUGUGGGUACGGGGAAGAUUUUCUUAGGGGCUUUUCAGAAAUCAGGUAAGGGGAUAAACUAAGCUAGUUUUGUUUUGAGAAAAGGUAUGUAUAUAUAUAUAGCAUCUGGUUUGAGGAAAAAUAAAUAUAUUUAUAUAUAUGAUUUAUAUUUGAAAAAUACUGUUUAAAUGAUGAUAUGUUGAAUACGUAGAAAAUUUGUUUAGUGUGGCAUGAGUAUAAAAAUGUUGUGAAAUACUGUUUUUUUUUUAAUAGGGACGAUAUGGAUUUCUAUGAUGGAAAACUGGCGUACGGGCCGAGAUAUUUUUAUAUAUAUAUGUGACUUGCCGGCGUAUGGGCCGUGCUAUGUGGAUGAGAUUUGCCGGCGUACGGGCCGUGCUAUGUGAUUUGUAGCGUACGGGCUGUGCUAUGUGAUUUGCCAGCGUACGGCCGUGCUAUGUGAUUUACCAGCGUACGAGCUGUGCUAUGUGAUUUGCCAGCGUACGGGCUGUGCCAUGUGAUUUGCCGGCGUACGGGCCGUGCUAUGUUAAAAUGUGUAAUACCGGCGUACGGGCCGAUGAUUUUUAUGAUACACGUAUAUAUGUGAAAUGAUAUGAUUGAUGUGAAAAUAAAUGAUAUGAGAUAUUUAUGUAUCACGGUUUUAGUAUAUGUAUAUGAUAUCAGAACCUGGUUAGCUUGGUCUAGGCUAGCACUUGCACGGUACCGUUGCUAUGUGUCCAUGGUCUUCGUGAUCAUGAUAUCUGUGUUAACGCCGCUGUACGGAGUGGUGUGAGAUUGGAUGGUCGAUGUGGUUAUUUUCAAGAAGUGUGCUGUUAUCGCCCCUGGUGUACGGAUCAGUCUGGGUAGACCCAUCGGACCUACAGACUACUAUUUGACUUGGCAGUGGUCGGCCAACCAUUGUCAGGUCCAGCCUUCGGGCCACACAACCCAGUCAUGUGGGGGUGUAAUACAUGACAACAGCCAGUUAACCUACCAGGAUUGUUUUAUGUUAUUAUUAGUGUAUGAGAUGAGAUAUGUUUAUGAAAAUGCAGUAUAUUCUGCUAUGUGUUGAUAUGCAUAUGUUUUCCCAUAUUUGAUAAACAGUAUUGAAUAUGUUAUGUAUGGUAUAUGUAGAACACAGAAUACUCAUGUUGCCACACACUGGUAUUAGUUUAUUUCCCUUACUGAGAGGUGUCUCACCCCUAAAUCUUAUACAUUUUUCAAGAGCCCCUGAUAGGAGAGCGGGAAAAGCCCCGUUGAUCUAGAUCAGUUGUUUGCCCUCUUUGGAAGGGUAAGUUUUUGGUAGGGACAGUUAGGUUUUGUGGGAGAUUGUCCCUAGAUUUCAUUUUUGAAAUGUAUAUACUGUGAGAUAGUAAUUGUAGUGACUCUGGUAUGUGUUAUGCACAUUAUGAUGAGAUGUAUAUGAUUUUA